rnacentral:rRNA from 1 species
ACCUUACCAGGUCUUGACAUCCCGAUGCUAUUUCUAGAGAUAGAAAGUUUCUUCGGAACAUCGGUGACAGGUGGUGCAUGGUUGUCGUCAGCUCGCGUCGUGAGAUGUUGGGUUAAGUCCCGCAACGAGCGCAACCCUUAAGCUUAGUUGCCAUCAUUAAGUUGGGCACUCUAAGUUGACUGCCGGUGGCAAACCGGAGGAAGGUGGGGAUGACGUCAAAUCAUCAUGCCCCUUAUGAUUUGGGCUACACACGUGCUACAAUGGACAAUACAAAGGGCAGCGAAACCGCGAGGUCAAGCAAAUCCCAUAAAGUUGUUCUCAGUUCGGAUUGUAGUCUGCAACUCGACUAUAUGAAGCUGGAAUCGCUAGUAAUCGUAGAUCAGCAUGCUACGGUGAAUACGUUCCCGGGUCUUGUACACACCG